rnacentral:rRNA from 1 species
ACAUCCAAGGAAGGCAGCAGGCGCGCAAAUUACCCAAUCCCGACACGGGGAGGUAGUGACAAUAAAUACUGAUACAGGGCUCUUUUGGGUCUUGUAAUCGGAAUGAGUACAAUUUAAAUCCCUUAACGAGGAACAAUUGGAGGGCAAGUCUGGUGCCAGCAGCCGCGGUAAUUCCAGCUCCAAUAGCGUAUAUUAAAGUUGUUGUGGUUAAAGCUCGUAGUUGAACCUUGUGCCUGGCUGGCCGGUCCCCCUCACCGGGUGCACUGAUCCAGCCGGGCCUUUCCCUCUGUCAGGAACCCAAAGGCCUUCACUGGCUGUGGCGGGGAAACAGGACUUUUACUUUUAAAAAAUUUGAGUGGGCCCUGCCGGGCCAAGCUUGAAUAUAUUAGCAAGGGAUGAUAGAAUAGGCAGGUGGGGUGGAUUUUUGUGGUUUUUUGGACCUCCUUAUUGAUUUAUAGGGAAGAUUAGGG